rnacentral:piRNA from 1 species
UGAGAUCCAAAAUCCAAAAAU